AUCAGACAGUGAGCUGAUGAGCUCAAAUUGAUCAGAUAGUUCAUAACUGUGUCUAUCUCAGACUGUCUGUACACAUUGAGAAUGUAAUAGUCAUUGACACUGAUUUAUAGCAGAUCUCUGUUUUGUAUAGAUUAGUGUUGCUGUGUUCUUAUCUUUGAAUUCUUGUGUAUAUAUAUUAUGAUUCAGAGUCUUUUCUUCUCUUGCUGUUUCAGAUUAGUGUCAUUUCAGUGAUCUAUAAAUGCAAAGCACUCAUAUGCUGAGUGAUUAGAUGUAAGAGAUGGUUGUAGGUAUAAUUAUGAGAGU
rnacentral:sRNA from 1 species